UACAGAGGUCCCAAGCGUUGUUCGGAUUUACUGGGCGUAAAGGGUGCGUAGGUGGUUGGGUAAGUUUGAUGUGAAAUCUCCGGGCUUAACCCGGAAAUGGCAUUGAAUACUAUUCGGCUAGAGGUUUGGAGGGGGGACUGGAAUUCUUGGUGUAGCAGUGAAAUGCGUAGAUAUCGAGAGGAACACCAGUGGCGAAGGCGAGUCCCUGGACAACACCUGACACUGAGGCACGAAAGCUAGGGGAGCAAACAGG
rnacentral:rRNA from 1 species